rnacentral:misc_RNA from 1 species
CUAUGGAGUAAACCCGCACACAGUGAAACGUGUGUUGGGUAGGUCGAUGCCUAAGUCGUCUCAAGUUGGGAUGAUAGGGCAGACAGUUUUUAUCAACCAAAUUCGAAAGAACUGUCACCAAUCAACGAUUGCUUAAGCGCGCUUAUCGAUCCUACGGUGGAUCAGGUGCACGCAAGGCACACUUUAGUCUUUUCAAACCUGGAAAGAGAAAUUUCCGGGGGUAUAGCUCAGUUGGUAGAGCGUCUGCUUUGCAAGCAGAAUGUCAUCGGUUCGAUUCCGGUUACCUCCAUCAGCCUCCGCGAGGAGGCUGCCCGACGAAGCCUCGGCGUAGUUGGGCGGUGUUCAAGGUAAUCAGCUUUGGCUGAUAAACCAACGGGCCUGUAGCUCAGCUGGUUAGAGCACGCGCUUGAUAAGCGCGGGGUCACAGGUUCAAGUCCUGUCAGGCCCACUCUCUAGGUCUGAUUAGUCCGACUGGUCCGACUAGUCUGAGUCCGACAAGCGCUCCCGGAAAUGAUCACUGGUCUUUGACAACUGUAUAUGGGUAAACGUCAAACUACAAUUUGACAAAAAUAAGAACCUGGACCGGUCCGAAAAUUAAGCACGGAUCGGUCUGAAAGAAGAAGUUACUCAAGUAAGAAACAGACCGUUUUUUUGAUGAAGAAUUAAAGAAACCGGAACAAGCUGUUAAGAGUGUAUGGUGGAUGCCUUGGUGCUAACAGGCGAUGAAGGACGUGAUAAGCUGCGAUAAGCUUCGGGGAGCGGCAAAUACGCUUUAUGACCCGGAGAUUUCCGAAUGGGGAAACCCGG